CGGGGAUCAAAACACGGCCCGGUUGGUAGUCCGGGCGUACCGGCCUUCAUAGACGCGGUAUCAGUAACCUGCCUCCUUGGUUGUCCAUUCUCCG
rnacentral:ncRNA from 1 species